CGUAGUUUCCCGUUUUGAGACGUGGUGGUAGCCAGCUGGAUACCAAAGCUGGUGUUAGUUUUUUUAUGUUUUGCGACGUUAUUUUAACUUUUUAUAAAAAGAAAUCUGGGAAAUAGUUAUUCAUUAUGAACCAUGGCUUGCGUAGCCAUUGUUUGUGAGAGUAGAAUGGGUGUUAUAAUGGAGAGCGAUCAAAUAAUGUCUCACCGUGGAAUGCCAAACAAAAUUAUUACUUAGUGAUGCAGUACCAACAAUAUUCACUCACAUACCUCACACAACCUCGUAAGGCCGAGAUUUCCAGACACAAUAGUUAAACAAUGAGGUUUGGAUUUUAAAAGGACAUUCGGUCUUACGACUUUAAGGUAAAGCUAAGGAAACCAGAGCUCACACUAUACACUUCUAAACAAAGUGAACAAGAGGAAAUAUAUUUUUUUAUCACCAAAAUUCGGAAUUGUUAAUUCAUGGUUCAUGGUC